rnacentral:rRNA from 1 species
CACGUAGGGUACGAGCGUUGUCCGGAAUUAUUGGGCGUAAAGAGCUCGUAGGCGGUGUGUCACGUCGGCCGUGAAAACCUGCAGCUUAACUGUGGGCGUGCGGUCGAUACGGGCAUCACUGGAGUUCGGCAGGGGAGACUGGAAUUCCUGGUGUAGCGGUGAAAUGCGCAGAUAUCAGGAGGAACACCGGUGGCGAAGGCGGGUCUCUGGGCCGAUACUGACGCUGAGGAGCGAAAGCGUGGGGAGCAAACAGG